CAGGAGGGGCUUGCCCGGGCUGGGCGGACCGUGCCGGGGAGAGGACUCGGAGGUUGCAGCGGGAGUCGACGCGGGACCCGUCAGGCGGCGCCGGGGCCGGGAGCGCUGCCUGCCGCAGUCAUGGAGCCGAGCGCGGACCUGGCCUUGCUGAUUGCUGUGGUUGUCAUUGCCCUGUCAGCCUUGCUGUUAGUUUUCAAGGCUAGGAGAUCCCAGAGGAAGAGUGAUCCCAUUACAUUACAGGAGCCACACACUAAGUAUCCGUUGCCAUUGAUAAAGAAAGAGGAGAUCAGCCACGAUACCAGGAAAUUCAGGUUUGGGCUUCCGUCGCCGGAUCAUGUAUUAGGGCUACCUAUAGGCCAGCAUGUUUACCUCUCUUCCAAAAUCAAUGGUAAUCUUGUCAUCCGGGCCUACACUCCAGUUUCCAGUGAUGAAGUAAAAGGUUAUGUUGACUUAAUUAUAAAGGUCUACUACAAAAAUGUCCAUCCCAAAUUCCCUGAAGGUGGGAAGAUGUCCCAGUACUUAGACAGCAUGACUGUUGGGGAUACCAUUGACUUCAGAGGGCCAAACGGGCUCCUUGUAUACAAGGGGACAGGUAACUUUGCUAUCAAGCCUGACAAGAAGUCUGAAGCACAGAGAAAGUUUGUAAAGCAUCUUGGGAUGAUAGCUGGAGGAACAGGAAUAACUCCGAUGUUGCAGCUGAUCCGUCACAUCACAAAGGAUCCUAAUGAUGAUACAAAGUGUUACCUCCUUUUUGCUAAUCAGACUGAAAAAGACAUAUUACUGAGAGCUGAGCUGGAAGAGGUAGCCAAGAAUCACCCUGAUCAAUUUAAGGUGCAGUAUACAUUGGACAGACCUCCUCAUGACUGGAAGUAUAGCUCUGGCUUCAUUACUGCAGACAUGAUUAAAGCAUACCUCCCUCCUCCAGACAGAGAUACUCUUAUUCUGAUGUGUGGGCCUCCACCUAUGAUUCAGUUUGCGUGUCAGCCCAAUCUGGAAAAACUUGGUUAUCUCAAAGAUAACACAUUCGCUUAUUAACACUGAUGCAAUGCAGUAAUAAUCCGUUGUGCUACAGCACUUUUAGAACAAUUGCUUAGAUUUCUGCUGUACAAAGAGGAUUUGAUUGACAGUCACUGAAAACUGCAUUGCUGCCUUAAGUUGGACUGAACUUCAAUAUAAGUAUCUACUGUUGUUUAUAUGUACUUACGAAAUACAGUUCUCUCCAUGAAGUACAUGUGCUCUGAGCAGUUUCAGAAGUUUGUCUCACCCAAAAGAAAGUGGUACUUCCACACAUAAGGAGAAUUAUUUAAUCUGGCUUCUCUCGGGGACAGUCUGAGCUAAUGCAAGUUGUCAUAGCUCUACGGAAGUCACUGGAGCGAUGAUAAUUUACACCAGCAGAGGAUCUGCCCCUAUCUGGCUCUCGUGCACUACAGAAGCUCUCACAACGUCCAACAGCUCCCUUUUUCAGGGUUUGAAGUACUUUACACAGACUUUGUCAGGAAGGAGGCUGGAUAGAGUUUUUAUGGAAACCUACUGUUUGUGUGUGAUGUGUAAACUAAAUUCCAUUACAGAGAGAAAGUGAUCACUACAUAUGUAACAAAAUGGAAGUAUUCUUUUAUUGUCUAAUUGAUAAUGUUCAUGUGUUUAUAUGCUUAAGCAUAAUUAUUUCAUAAAGUAUGUAAUACAUUUACAUGGUGCAAAUGAUGCACUCUUCAGUUUAACGUCUUAAAAUAUACAAUCCAGUUGUA